CUUGCAUCAUUGUAAAAAUGAUGCAGGAUCGACUAUGUCGAAUAAAAUUCUAGGUAGAAUUAUGAUAAUGACAUUGUCUGCCUAUGUGUCUUGACCAAAUUACGUGCCAGCAGUCGCGGUAAUACGUAGAAGACUAGUGUUAUUCAUGUUUAAUCGGUUUAAAGGGUACCUAGACGGUAAAUCAAGCCUAAAAUUAAAUGAAGGGACUAAUUUACUAGAGUUACUUAUGAGGGGGUAUUAAAGUACUGCUGGUGUAGAGAUGAAAUUCUGUCAUACCUCUUUUCAAUAGAAAAACAAUGGCACAGGUAUAGGCGAAAGCAUCCCCUUAUGUGAUAACUGACGUUGAGGGACGAAGGCUUUGUGUAGCGAACAGGAUUAGAUACCCCAGUAGUCAAAGCAGAAAAUGAUGAAUGUCAUAGAUUAGAUAAAUAAGUUUAUUCUAUAAAUGAAAGUGUAAGCAUUCCACCUCAAGAGUAAUUUGGCAACAUUGGAACUGAAAUCAUUAGACCGUUUCUGAAACCAGUAGUGAAGUAUGUUGUUUAAUUUGAUGAUCCGCAAAAAACCUUACCACAAUUUGAAUAUUUAUAUUUUUUUAUUGUUUUCUUUUUAAUUUUCUUCUGAUUUGAUUUUUCUAAAGAAAAAAAGAAAAAGAGGCGAUAUGAUAUAUUUACAAGCGUUGCACGGCUGUCUUCAGUUAAUGUCGCGAGACUUUGGUUAGUUCCAUUAAAUUAACGUAAACCCUUACUUUAUUUUUAUAUAGAGUAGUUCCCCGCUAUAUUGGAUAUGAUAAC
rnacentral:rRNA from 1 species